CUGUGGGGUACAAAAUAGUGUCCUGCACCCGCUGAGGAGCCUGAUGUCAAGCAAGGAGCUCCCAUCUGAAGGGACACAGUACCCCACCAGAACAUUUAAAAAGGAUUAUUUAAAAUUUGGACCAAUGGAGAGUCAAGUUCCCAUGAAUAUGGCAGAAAAGGUCGAAGAGAAGAGAGUGGAAGGUCGAUAUCCAUGUUCUGGAGGAUUGGGGGUCCUUUUCAAAGGAGUACAUUGCAUUUCUGGGGAAAUGACGGAGUUUGGGAACUGGAUGAAAGAUAAACCUAUUCCAUUCCAGUUUGUUGACUGGGUUCUACGUGGAACAUCCCAAGUCAUGUUCGUGAAUAACCCUCUCAGCGGACUUAUCAUCGUCGGUGGGCUUUUCCUACAGAAUCCAUGGUGGGCGAUCGCUGGCUGCCUCGGCACCAUAGUAUCCACCCUCACAGCCCUUAUUCUCAGUCAGGACAGAUCAGCGAUCGCUGCCGGACUCCAUGGCUACAAUGGCAUCUUAGUGGGUUUGCUCAUGGCCGUCUUCUCUGCCAAGGGAAAUUGGUACUGGUGGCUUCUUCUUCCAGUUUCUGUCAUGUCCAUGACCUGCCCAGUCUUGUCAAGCGCCUUGGCUUCAAUCUUCAAAAAAUGGGACCUGCCCGUAUUUACCUUGCCCUUUAAUAUCGCCGUCUGCGUGUAUUUGGCUGCUACGGGGCCCUACAACGUGUUCUUUCCUACUGCCAUGUUUGAGCCCAUUGCGUCUGUCCCAAACAUAACCUGGUCUGAAAUCGAUGUCCCCUUGCUCUUAAAGUCUAUUCCGGUCGGUGUUGGGCAGGUUUAUGGCUGCGACAACGCAUGGACCGGGGGGAUGUUCCUGGCGGCUUUGUUCUUAUCGUCCCCCAUUAUUUGCCUGCACGCGGCUAUCGGGUCGGCUUUGGGGACCGUGGCAGGGUUGAGUCUGUCAGCGCCAUUUCAGAACAUUUACUUUGGGCUGUGGGGUUACAACUCCGUUCUGGCCUGCAUUGCAAUCGGAGGCAUGUUUUACGCCCUGACUUGGCAGACCCACUUGCUGGCGAUCUCGUGUGCUCUGUUCUGUGCAUACCUUGGGGCGGCCAUUGCCAAUAUGAUGAGCGUGGUCCGACUGCCUUCAUGCACUUGGCCGUUUUGUUUGUCGGCGCUCACCUUCUUGUUAAUGACCACAAAUAACCGUGCUAUUUACAAACUACCCCUGUGUAAAGUCACCUACCCUGAGGCAAACAGGCACUAUUAUCUCAACCUGCAAAAGGAGAAGAAAGAAACCGGAGACACCAAGGUUUAGAAUGAAGAACCCUCCCUGCUGGGCUUGACUUAUCUUCUAGGAAGUCCUUUGACUCCCAACCAUGAACAUAUACUGUAUUUUGGGAGAACAUUUAGCACUUGCGUUCCACCAUGGACAGUCAGUGAUGGAACUUGCUUCAAAGACUAUAACCAGUGCACACAGGGACAACCAUAAAGCUCAUCCACGGGAUAAUAGGGGACCUUCUGUGAAGGACCUUAAUAUUUGACAUGAAGUCAAUAAGGAAAUAUACAAUAUGUAUCCAUGGUGUAAACAUUCACUAACAAGUUAAAUCCAAGUGGUUUUUGGACUAUUUAUGGUUCUAGCUCCCCACUUGGAUGUACAAUAGUUGGUCAAGUUCCCCUUACCUAAUAGCUUACAGGUAUUAGAAACCAUUGUUGUCUAAAGAGAAGUGUAUUUGUAAGGAAAGGGUCUCCACUCCAGGAAUGGAAAUGACAUACUCUGUAUUGUGAGUCCCAGCAUGCAAUGGUUGAAACGAUGAGCAGUUACAGAUGGAGUAGUUAUGGAUGGAGCAGUUACAGAUGGAGUAGUUAUGGAUGGAGCAGUUACAGAUGGAGUAGUUAUGGAUGGAGCAGUUACAGAUGGAGUAGUUAUGGAUGGAGCAGUUACAGAUGGAGCAAAUUUAAUCUAGAAAGUUCCAUUACCUACAUUGUUAAUUGGCUGGCACGUCAAUAGAAAUUCCAUUCAAGGUUGGAAUUUAACUGUGAAUUGGAAAAUAAUACGGGCCCUGAUGCUGACUUUAGGCUAAAUGUUAGAAAUUAAAGAAGUAUUAUUUUUUAAGCACCUUGAGAAACAUUUUUUUCAUAUAUAUAUAUUUUUUUUUUUAGCUUUCUUCAUUAGUAUGAUGUACUCAUGGAAUAUAGCGAGUGUAGGUAAAUAUAGGUUAUAUUACUAUUAUAUCUCUAGGACAGGAACAUGAGCAAUACAAUUGCUGGCGUUCGAUCCGGUGAAUUAUACAAAUACUAAAACAAAUGUCUAGAAAUUACAUCAAAAUUAAAUUCCCUUUAAGCAAAUAUGG